CGGGGUGGAGCAGCCUGGUAGCUCGUCGGGCUCAUAACCCGAAGGUCGUCGGUUCAAAUCCGGCCCCCG
rnacentral:tRNA from 15 species